rnacentral:piRNA from 1 species
UGCCUGUAGCAGUUAGAGAAAAGCACU